rnacentral:rRNA from 1 species
UACGUAGGGGGCAAGCGUUGUCCGGAAUUAUUGGGCGUAAAGAGCGCGUAGGCGGUCCGAUAAGUCGGCUGUGAAAGUCAGGGGCUCAACCCUUGAAAGCCGGCCGAUACUGUCGGACUAGAGUCCGGAAGAGGCAAGUGGAAUUCCCGGUGUAGCGGUGAAAUGCGUAGAGAUCGGGAGGAAGGCCGGUGGCGAAGGACGGCGCUCUGGAACAUUUCUGACGCUGAGGCUCGAAAGCGUGGGGAGCAAACAGGG